UAGGGAAUAUUGGGCAAUGGUCGAGAGACUGACCCAGCCAUGCCGCGUGAAGGAAGAAGGCUUUCUGAGUUGUAAACUUCUUUUAUCUGGGAAUAAACGAUCCUUGCGAGGAGCAUUGAAGGUACCAGAUGAAUAAGCACCGGCUAACUCCGUGCCAGCAGCCGCGGUAAUACGGAGGGUGCAAGCGUUGUCCGGAUUUAUUGGGUUUAAAGGGUGCGUAGGUGGCUUAUUAAGUCAGUGUUUAAAGUCUGCAGCUCAACUGUAGGAAUGGCAUUGAUACUGAUGAGCUUGAGUAAAGUUGAGGUAGACAGAAUUGAUGGUGUAGCGGUGAAAUGCAUAGAUAUCAUCAAGAAUACCGAUUGCGAAGGCAGUUUACUAAGCUUUAACUGACACUGAGGCACGAAAGUGUGGGGAUCAAACAGG
rnacentral:rRNA from 1 species